GGAUGUGGGCAAUAAGAUCCUCCGUGACACGCAAAGGGACACCGGCUACUGUGCCCUCGAUACCUCCAUCUUCCCGAUGGACGGUACCAUAGAACUCUCUAAUAAGGCCCGGGUAAGUGGGGAGGUCCAGUGUAAGGAAGUACUCUAGGCCGUGGGCCCUAAGUCUAUCACCUAUGGUGAACCCUUCCCGGGAGAGGAAGUCGAAAUCGACAUACCUCCCGGUGGAGACGACCUUCCCGGCCAAUGGCCUCGCGGGAACCGCCCUAGGCGGGGAACGAGCCGGAGGUGGUUGCCUCGCGGGAUCGUGCCGCGCCUUGGAGCGCCGCUCGGGACCGGCCUCGGGACGGGACCUCUUC
rnacentral:lncRNA from 1 species